CAAAGCUCUGCCGCUUACUCACUGGAUAAGACCAUGAUCAAGUUAUUUCAUCUGAAAAAUUGAGUUGACUGCAGGUAACUGAAACUGCGGAAAGUGAAACUGCAGAUAAGAGGGACCACUGUAAAUAAGUGACAUGAAUGAUACUGCAAAGGACCAUAGCCUAACCAGCCAAGCAAACUGGAAGUACCUUUAGACUCACGCUUUGCCAAGCUCAGUUCCAGAAUCA
rnacentral:lncRNA from 10 species